UUAGUGGCGGAGUCGGCUCACAACUCUAGACGUAGUAAUUUUUUUCCUCGCCUGUGUGUUGUGCCGGUCCCCUGCCGUAAAACCCCCUAAUUUUUCAAGGUUGACCUCGGAUCAGGUAGGAAUACCCGCUGAACUUAAGCAUAUCAAAGGCCCGGAGGA
rnacentral:rRNA from 1 species